UGUCAGGGCUAUUGAUGAAUUGUGGUCUUA
rnacentral:piRNA from 1 species